rnacentral:misc_RNA from 1 species
GAUGAAGAAAGCAGCGAAAUGCGAUACUUCGUGUGAAUUGCAGAAUCCCGUGAACCAUCGAGUCUUUGAACGCAAGUUGCGCCUCAAGCCAUUAGGUUGAGGGCACGUCUGCCUAGGCGUCACAUAUCGUUGCCUGAUGCCAGUUUCCUCGUGAUGGGUGACUGUGCAGGGCGAAUGAUGGCUUCCCGUGAGCAUUGUUGCCUCAUGGUUGGUUGAAAAUUGAGUCCUUGGUAGGGAGCGCCGUGAUAGAUGGUGGUUGAGUGACGAACGAGACCCAAUCAUGUGAGACCCCUACCGAAUUUGGCCUUCAUGACCCACAUGCGUCUUUGGAACGCUCAUGACGAGACCUCAGGUCAGGCGGGGCUACCCGCUGAGUUUAAGCAUAUCAAUAAGCGGAGGA